ACUGAGGCGGUGCUCAGGUCUCAGCGCCCUUUCCUCUGAUUGGGUGGAACCAAGGGGCGGACGGACAAAAGAGGAGGUAGAGACUGGUUACUCCUGGGAAGAAGGCGGAGCCUUGUCGAGGAGGGAGGUGGUAUUUGGCUGGCAGUGGUAGCCCCGCCCCCUCACCGCGAUUUGGGACACAGACUUAGAACAGUCAGUGGAGUUCCUACGCCUCCUAGUCAUCCCAGCAACCAGUGACGCGGGCCGCCUGAGGUCAACCACUGGCCAACUGGGGAAAGCGGGACUGCAGCGUGACCCCUUUUCCGAGCCGCCUCCCAGCUCCCCCUAUUCGGCGGCCGAGCGCUCCGCCAGUCCCUUCCUCCCUUCUCCUUAGUCCCGCAGUCUGGGAGGCAGGGGUCGGCGAGCCAGCUGAGUGGGAACCGCGUGGUGUACAAGGAGCCAUUCGGCGACCGCCCUCAAGGUGGACUGGCGCCGUGGGAGAGGAGCUGAGGUCGGAAGAGUUUCGCCAAGCAACUCGUGACGACCACCGUUGACGGAAGCGCCCGGAAUUGGCUGCGCUGCGACCUUCUCAGAUUUCCUCCCAGGGCAAGUUCCAGCAUGGGGUGAAGUACAGAAGAGAGACUUGAAGGGUGUACUCUGAUCAGGGUC